UAGGGAAUCUUCGGCAAUGGACGAAAGUCUGACCGAGCAACGCCGCGUGAGUGAAGAAGGUUUUCGGAUCGUAAAACUCUGUUGUUAGAGAAGAACAAGGACGUUAGUAACUGAACGUCCCCUGACGGUAUCUAACCAGAAAGCCACGUCUAACUACGUGCCAGCAGCCGCGGUAAUACGUAGGUGGCAAGCGUUGUCCGGAUUUAUUGGGCGUAAAGCGAGCGCAGGCGGUUUCUUAAGUCUGAUGUGAAAGCCCCCGGCUCAACCGGGGAGGGUCAUUUGAAACUGGGAAGCUUGAGUGCAGGAGAGGAGAGUGGAAUUCCAUGUGUAGCGGUGAAAUGCGUAGAUAUAUGGAGGAACACCAGUGGCGAAGGCGACUCUCUGGUCUGUAACUGACGCUGAGGCUCGAAAGCGUGGGGAGCAAACAGG
rnacentral:rRNA from 1 species